rnacentral:lncRNA from 1 species
UUUUCUCAAUGUGCCAUUUAUCUUUUGUAUAUUUUCUCGUAUUACUAGAUUCCUUUAUUAAGAAUUAGGGAUUAAACAGGUAGGUAGAGAGAAUUUCUUUAUGUUAUUGUCUCAUCCCUUUAAACUUUUGUACAUGUUUAAAUGUUAAUAAUACAUUCUCUUUUCUGUUUCUUUCAUGAGUAAAAUCUGGACUCAUGUCAUGGCUUAAAUGCAGCCUAUGCUGGCAAGCUAUACAUAUUAAGAUUUGAAAAGUAAACUUUGAACCAUUAUUUUGGUGUAAUGCUUAUUAAGGAACCUCUUUUGAAGAUGCUGCACAUAGGGACCAAAUUUGGCAAAGGUGGGGAUCUCCAAAUAAUUACAUUGGAAGAAGAUUUGGAUAUCUGAUGCUCCUUGGAAGUUGGCAAGAAGGGCUCAGAUAUUGAAAAAGCAAAAUAUUUAACUAGGUCUCACCCUAAAAUUUGAGGCAUUUUUGAUGGAAGAAGAAAGUAACUGCAUUGCUUACAGUGACACCAAAGACUCCAUGUGAAUCAAAUAUGUUUUGAUGAUUCUGAAAGUCUGCUGGAUGCUUCAGACAGCCUAUCAGCAAGCUAGCCAUAUGACUAACCAGGGGUGACUUCAGAACUGCCGGUUUCCCAACCAGGGAAGACUUCCAAAGAGCCAUAAGCCACUGGAAAUGUGUCUGUCACAAUUUAGCAGCUGAAUGUAAUGCUGGCUUUCCAGCUUAGGGAAAAAAAAUGAGUAAAAUGCUUCAACAUUGCACUGGAGUUCUCCCUAUAUUCAAUUAAAUUGUUACAUUAUUUAGUGGCU